AGUCUGAUGCAGCAACGCCGCGUGAGCGAUGAAGGCCUUCGGGUCGUAAAGCUCUGUCCUAAGGGAAGAUAAUGACGGUACCUUAGAGGAAGCCCCGGCUAUCUCGUGCCAGCAGCCGCGGUAAU
rnacentral:rRNA from 1 species